rnacentral:rRNA from 1 species
GACGGACGCUGGCGGCGCGCCUAACACAUGCAAGUCGAACGGUGACGAGAGCUUCGGCUCUCUGAUCAGUGGCGGACGGGUGAGUAACACGUGAGCAACCUGCCUAUCAGAGGGGGACAACAGUUGGAAACGACUGCUAAUACCGCAUAACGUUGUCGGAAGGCAUCUUCUGACAACCAAAGAUUUAUCGCUGAUAGAUGGGCUCGCGUCUGAUUAGAUAGUUGGUGAGGUAACGGCUCACCAAGUCGACGAUCAGUAGCCGGACUGAGAGGUUGAACGGCCACAUUGGGACUGAGACACGGCCCAGACUCCUACGGGAGGCAGCAGUGGGGGAUAUUGGACAAUGGGGGCAACCCUGAUCCAGCGACGCCGCGUGAGGGAAGAAGGUUUUCGGAUUGUAAACCUCUGUCGACAGGGAAAAUGAUGAUGGUACCUGUGGAGGAAGCCACGGCUAACUACGUGCCAGCAGCCGCGGUAAUACGUAGGUGGCAAGCGUUGUCCGGAAUUACUGGGUGUAAAGGGAGUGUAGGCGGGACGGUAAGUCAGAAGUGAAAAUUAUGGGCUCAACUCAUAACCUGCUUUUGAAACUGCUGUUCUUGAGUGAAGUAGAGGCAAGCGGAAUUCCUAGUGUAGCGGUGAAAUGCGUAGAUAUUAGGAGGAACACCAGUGGCGAAGGCGGCUUGCUGGGCUUUUACUGACGCUGAGGCUCGAAAGCGUGGGGAGCAAACAGGAUUAGAUACCCUGGUAGUCCACGCCGUAAACGAUGAUUACUAGGUGUGGGGGGGAUUGACCCCUUCCGUGCCGCAGUUAACACAAUAAGUAAUCCACCUGGGGAGUACGACCGCAAGGUUGAAACUCAAAGGAAUUGACGGGGGCCCGCACAAGCAGUGGAGUAUGUGGAUUAAUUCGAAGCAACGCGAAGAACCUUACCAGGUCUUGACAUCAAGUGACCGUUCUAGAGAUAGGACCUUCUCUUCGGAGACACGAAGACAGGUGGUGCAUGGUUGUCGUCAGCUCGUGUCGUGAGAUGUUGGGUUAAGUCCCGCAACGAGCGCAACCCUUAUGAUUAGUUGCUACGCAAGAGCACUCUAAUCAGACUGCCGUUGACAAAACGGAGGAAGGUGGGGAUGACGUCAAAUCAUCAUGCCCUUUAUGACCUGGGCCUCACACGUACUACAAUGGCGUUUAACAAAGAGCAGCGAGACCGCGAGGUGGAGCAAAUCUCCAAAAAACGUCUCAGUUCAGAUUGCAGGCUGCAACUCGCCUGCAUGAAGUCGGAAUUGCUAGUAAUCGUAGAUCAGCAUGCUACGGUGAAUACGUUCCCGGGCCUUGUACACACCGCCCGUCAAACCAUGAGAGUUGGCAACACCCGAAGCCGAUAGCCUAACCGCAAGGAGGGCGUCGUCGAAGGUGGGGUCGAUGAUUGGGGUU